rnacentral:rRNA from 1 species
GAUUAACGCUGGCGGCGUGCAUAACACAUGCAAGUCGAACGAUGAAACUUAAAUGAUUUCUUCGGAAUGAACUUAAGUGGAUUAGUGGCGGACGGGUGAGUAACGCGUGAGUAACCUGCCUUACACAAGGGGAUAGCCGUUGGAAACGACGAAUAAUACCCUAUGAAACUAUCACUUCGCAUGAAGCGAUAGUCAAAGUGUUAGCGGUGUAAGAUGGACUUGCGUCUGAUUAGCUAGUUGGUGAGAAAAAAGCCCACCAAGGCAACGAUCAGUAGCCGGCUUGAGAGAGUGUCCGGCCACAUUGGGACUGAGGCACGGCCCAGACUCCUACGGGAGGCAGCAGUGGGGAAUUUUGCACAAUGGGGGAAACCCUGAUGCAGCGACGCCGCGUGAUUUAGAAGGCCUUCGGGUUGUAAAAAUCUUUUGUAUAGGAAGAAAAUGACAGUACUAUACGAAUAAGGUCCGGCUAAUUACGUG